rfam:Camelus ferus unplaced genomic scaffold scaffold850, whole genome shotgun sequence.
GAGGAUAUAGCUCAGUGGCAGAAUAUGUGCUUAGCAUGCAUGAGAUCCUGGGUUCAAUCCCCAGUACCACCA